UUGCAGCAGCCGCAGAACACUAAUAAUAUACAUCAGUGGAAAACAAGGUGGAGUUACAUAAAAGACAUCUUUUGAGCAGUCUGAGCCUUUUACUCACUUGGUCUGGUCAUUCAGUACCAAGUUUAAACCCUGGACCUGGUCUUCUGAACUCAGUAAUGCAAACAUCCCAUCUCCAUCCACAAUGGCCAGUUGACCAAAGGACCGACAUCUGCAAGGCUUCCCAAUCAUCCUACGCAAACAGAAUUCAGAGGAAACAGGGUGGAGACUGACUGCAGGAUCUUUUGGAGGAUCCAAGAGAAUGAGACCCUCCCCAAAGCUUCUCUUCUGCUGAGAUUCCUUUGCUUAAUACAUAGUAUUGCCAUCCACCAGUUUCACAAACUAGAAACCUAGGAAUCACUCUAGACUUGCUUUUUUAAUUAAAUUUACAUCAUUGAA